GGAUGCGAUCUUACCAGCACUAACGCACCGGA
rnacentral:rRNA from 1 species